rnacentral:misc_RNA from 1 species
AAGUCGUAACAAGGUAACCGUAGGUGAACCUGCGGUUGGAUCAUUAAAAAAAAUCCAAACGGUUUUAAUUUAUGCAUUUCGUAAGAUUUUGCUUUUUUAAACCGGAUUAACACCAUGUGCACUCUUGUCUUGAGCAUUAAUAAUGGAAACAUUUUAAUGCACAAGUAACAAACUAUUAAUUUUAACUGAAUUUUUAUAACAAGCAAAAAACUUGUAAUUUAAAAUGAUAAACAACUUUUGACAACGGAUCUCUUGGCUCUC